UUAUUUCCUACACAGGUCCUCCCCUGGGCAAUGGGGCCAGGACUUGGUAGCUGGUGCUGAGAGAAAACUUUGUUUGAAUACUUGCCCUGGUACUAUACCAGUCAGCUGUCACUCAGUGGGACAGAC
rnacentral:snoRNA from 1 species